ensembl:snoRNA SNORD115 Small nucleolar RNA SNORD115
GGGUCAAUAAUUUGAAUUCCUCUUGUUGAAGAGAGCUGAUGAUAUAAAAAUCAUGUUCAUUGGGAUUACAGAGGCCC